UUGCAUUAUUUUUUAGUUGAAAAUGUGCAAUUGAUUGAUUUAUAAAAUCCAAAAAUUAACAACUAUAAUACCGGUAUUUAUAGUGCAAAAUCAGGGUACAAAUUGUGGUCUGAGCAGAAUACUCCUCAGCUUGAGAAUAUGCAAUCUGCAGGGUGGAAGAAACUGUGGUCAUUAAAGAUCCCUCAUAAGAUCCGUAUGUUUCUGUGGAGAAUAUGCAGGAAUAAUGUUCCUGUGCGAAAUAUGUUAAGGGAGAAGGGGGUUAAUAUUCCCAUUUUGUGUCCUAUGUGUAACAUAGAAGUGGAGCAUUUACUUCAUAUUUUUUUCGACUGCAAAUUUGCCUCGGAGUGCUGGAAAGUUAUGAAUUUAUCAUAUGAUAUGAGAAAUGCAGACUCUGCCUCUAACUGGUUACUUCAUAAGCUUGCUACAACAACGGACGAGGAGGCUUCUGUCAUUGCUACUGUCUUGUGGGGCAUCUGGUAUGCUCGGAACUUAAAUGUUUGGGAGCUCUGAGUCCCUCUGUUGCUAUGGAAGGAAGUAAAAGGCAGGUAUCGGAUUGGAAGGAGGUUAAGUUAAGGAAGCAUGUUUCUCGAUCAAAUGUAAAUGAUGGUCAGCAAGAGCAUAUUCAGAAAUGAAUGCCGCCUGUCGAAGGUACCCUCAAGCUUAAUGUUGAUGCAUCUGUUAUCCAGGGGAGCACCUCGUUUCAAAUUGGAAUGGUGUUGCGUGAUUGUCGUGGCCAUUUUAUCCAAGGAAAGUGCAUGCACUAUGCUGGAGAGGUAACAGCUCUUGAGGCAGACUUUUGGAAUUUGUGAGGCCCUCUCUUGGAUGCUCGCUAGGAGUGGCCAAUCUGUUCAAAUUGAGAGUGACUCUCUGGUUGCAAUCAACUUCAUCUGUAGUAAGACGGCAAAUCAACUUGAAAUUGGUCAUGUGUUUGAGAUGUGCCCAGAAAUCAUGCAAAUUAGACCCGAUUUGUCCUUGCACUUUGUUAGAAAGCAAGCCAAUGAGGCGGCGCAUUUAAUGGCGCGUGUACCUUGUGAGCUAAAUAGCUACAAUUUAUUCUUGUCUCCUCCAUUGUCUGUGUUGGAGACUAUUGUUUCUGAGGUUUCAGUGUUUUAAUGGAAACUCUCUUGUUUUCAGAAAAAAAAAAUGUAUUUAACAUUUUUCUUGCCAAUAUUCAUGUAAAGCAAAAAUUAUGCACAGCAAAGUAAAAGAAAGGGAAAAAGGGAAACAAUUGGAUAAUGAAUGGGGACUUAAAGAUGUCCAGAUAUAUUUGUAAUAUAUAAUACAUCUCAAUACAUGUAUUCCUCGAUCUUUUCACCCGUUUACUACCAUCUUCUUCAUUUCUCUCCACCGUUUCACCACUUCUCAUCUUCUUCUUCCUGUUCCCCAUAUUUCAUAACAUCGCUUCUUACACAAUUUCUUCCGUAUUUCUCAACGAUCUUUGAUUUUUGAUUUCUCUGGUAACCAUUGACUUUUCCGAUGAUGAAUGGGCGGUAUAGAGCUUUCAACAGAGCAGUCCGGCCUCUAUCCUGUUUCUUAUCUUGUGUCGUGCCGUGUCGACACGGGUACGUUGAAUGGAAUAGACGAGUCGGAUUAACACAGCUAAGCAAUGAAGAAAAUGCUUCAAAACUUGUGGUAAGAAUGUGAGAGUAUUUAAUUAUAUGAAAUCUUGAUAAUUAAAGACCGGAGUGUAUAUGAUGUAACAACUCUUGAAUGUCAUGAGGCUGAUCAAGUGCCCCCUUAUUUCAAUGAUCCAAUGAUACUCUUUGGUAUCUCUGCUCCUUAUUUUAUCUGUCCCAUAAAAUAGGCAUUUCAUUCAGUUACUAAUUCUGCACCUAUACUAAUCUAUGAUGUUCAGAAAGAUAUGGUCUAUACUAAUCUAUGGUGUUCAGAAAGAUAUGGUCUUUAUCUAUACUGAUAUCUAAGUGUUGUGCAUUAAAAUAAAUUAUGAUUUAGCUAUUAAGUUCUUAUUAUCUACUUGGCGUAUAUGGAUGAUUGCCGAGAUACAUGCUCAUCAGAAGAGAGUGACUACCCUUGCCUAUUCCCGUGCAUUAAACAUCCUUUUAUGGUCUGGAUAUGAUGCUCAGAUAUGUGCUUGGAACAGAUUUGGAUGAAAAUACCAGUCGACUAAUUUCAUGAAUGAUCAUGGAAAUGCUUUGUCUCCCCGGCACAAUUCUGUCAAGUUUCACCAGGACCAAAGACAUAUGUUGGUUGUACAUGAAAGUUGUCUAGCCACUCUUGAAGGGCCUAACCUCGAGCUCCGCAAGCAGUGGAUUCCCGGGGAAUUGAUCGUCGGUGAUGCUGCAUAUUCAUGUGAUGGCCAGUCCAUAUAUGAUAUAUGCCUGCCUUUUUAAAGGGCACAUUGUUUUCUUGGACUCCGCAUCAUUUACCCUCUUGACUGGAAGUUGCCUUCUGUAUUAUAUCUAGGGCCAGGUGAUGUAUGCUUCUACUCUUGCGGUUGAUCCUACAAAACACAAUCAGUUUGCUCUCGGGCUUAGUGAAGGUGGCGUACUAGCUAUAGAAGAAGAGGAUACCGGGAUUGCUUUGUACUACGCCUUAGCUUGAGACUAGCAACAACUGAUAACUUGAUAUGAGCUUUUGUGAUAAUCAGA